GUCCACACCGUAAACGAUGGAUACUAGGUGUCCGGCCUUUCGGGGCUGGGUGCCCAAGGGAAACCGAUAAGUAUCCCACCUGGGGAGUACGUCCGCAAGGAUGAAACUCAAAGGAAUUGACGGGGGCCCGCACAAGCGGUGGAGCAUGUGGUUUAAUUCGAUGAUACGCGAGGAACCUUACCUGGGCUAGAAUGCCCUCGACCGGCCGUGAAAGCGGUCUUCCCAGCAAUGGGCGAGGUGCAAGGUGCUGCAUGGUUGUCGU
rnacentral:rRNA from 1 species